UGUAUCAGCAUUAUGUCAACAUCUGGAUCAACAUAUGAAGAAGGAAAAAGGAAAGAGACUGAUUUUUUUUUAAUGUUUCAAUUUUUAAUUUUCUCCAUGAAGUAAGGCAUAUAAUAUCCAGACUACUUCAAAAGCCAAAACUGGAAAUGAGAGCUCAGAAGAUGGAAAUCAAAGAAUGCAUGCAGGGUGUCAUCGCUAACCAAAAAAAGAUGAGGCUAAGAAAGUAUGAAAACUAUUCAGGACUGGAAAAUAAUAAGGGACAAGUAAAGUGUUGCUUUGCAAAUUGCUGUUGGAUUACAACCACUAUAAUGAUUCUUUACUAUAUAAGCCACUAAGAGUUAUUGGUCUACACCAGGGCUUUUUAACGUUGAGAAUUUUAAGAAGUGUGGACUUCAACUCCCAGAAUUCCCUGGCCAGCCAUGUGUUUGAAGAACAAGUUUUAACCUACACAACUAUAUGGGUGGAAGAUGCCUAUAUGCAUCAUCCUAAGCCCUCUGAAGAGAUGAUUAAAAUCCAAAUGGCUAUCAUUUAAAUGGCAAUGACGAAACAACAAACUACAGGUGCUGGAUUCUUCUUAAAUGAUUUCCUAUAUUUAAGAAAUGACUGCAAAUGGAAAAAAAAACCCACAGAAGAAAAUAGACUCAGCUAUAACUUUUCUUCUUGAUGAGUUAGUCCUUUAUUUGAAAAAAGGGGACUAGUAGUUAUGAAAAAUGUCUUAAAAUUGAAAGAAGGAAAGGAAGGAAAGGAAGGAAAAGGAAGGAAGGAAGGAAGAAAAAGAAAGAAAGAAAAAGAAAAGAGUCUACUUUCUAAUCAUCUUUUCUGCAACCUGCAUCAAAUGGAAAUAAUACCCAUCUCUUGUGACUGGUGCUUACCAAUUAAUCCCAGAAUUCUGAUCAAGGGCUAUGCUGGCUGUGGAAUGCUGGGAAUUAAAAUUCCAACACCUGGAAAUUGCCUAUUUGGGAAACUGUGUCUUUUAUCUUUAUCUUUAUGUCUUUAUCACUGCACCUGUUACUUAUUUCUAGAUGAAUGAGUAAUUUGCCAAUUCAUUCUGUUUCCUUAUCUUAUUUUCUUGCCGCCUGUUCAUUCUCCAUAUUUGUCAGUCCUUUUAUCUCACAAAGCAAAGCCAUAUUCCAGAAAAGGUGGCACUUGCUAAGAACUUCUUGAAUCUCCAUGAAGAAGAAAGGUGGCUUGUAUAUGUAAAAAAUCACAAUUUUG